UACCCGCAGCACGAGUGGUGGUCACUAUUAUUGGGCGUAAAGCGCGCGCAGGCGGUUCCUUAAGUCUGAUGUGAAAGCCCACGGCUCAACCGUGGAGGGUCAUUGGAAACUGGGGGACUUGAGUACAGAAGAGGAAAGUGGAAUUCCACGUGUAGCGGUGAAAUGCGUAGAGAUGUGGAGGAACACCAGUGGCGAAGGCGACUUUCUGGUCUGUAACUGACGCUGAGGCGCGAAAGCGUGGGGAGCAAACAGG
rnacentral:misc_RNA from 1 species